rnacentral:tRNA from 1 species
GCGGACAUAGCUCAGUUGGGAGAGCGUCAGACUGAAGUGGGUUCUCAACCCUAGAAAACUUCAUUCAAUCAAUCUGAAGGUCGUGUGUUCAAUCCACACUGGCCGCA